rnacentral:lncRNA from 1 species
GUAACAUCUGACAUUAGGUUAUACAAAGACUCUUCUUCCAUCUUGGGUUUCUCUUUCUCUGAGAUACCCCACUGUGGAAGAAGCAAACUUUUAUUGUGAUCAGAAAUCUAUGUGGCAAGGAACAGAUGUCUCUGAUCAACUGCCAGGAAAUACCUGAGACCUGCCAAGACCCACGUCGGUGAUUCUCCCCAGUAGAGCUUUAUGGUGACCACCCCAGUCAACCCAUGGAGUUCAGCUCUGCGAAAGGUGAAAGAGGCUCCUGGAUUCCCUUCCAAACAUUUGUAACAUAGGAAGACUUUCCCAAUCUCCGAGGACUUUCUGUCUUCCCUCUUUCCAUCUGAGAUGCCUUUUCACCAGACUCUGGAACUUCUGCAUUCAGGGUCGUGUCUGAAGCCAAAGUCAGGUAUUAAAAACAUUCAGAUAUAAAAGUAAAGAUCUCAUUGAGACUAAGAGGAAGAUCACCUUUUGAGAGUCCCCCAAAAGUUCACUUUAUGUCCUACGAUAUAAAUGCCAUUCUAAAACAUAAAAAAUUAUACUUGUUUAC